GCCUCAAAAGAGCACACGCCGGCAGGUGGAACACUUCACGCCUCCACGGCUCCUCCGCUAUUGCGCCGGCGAUUAGCACCGACCGUAGCAUCAGUGCAUCAGCAUACGGUACUCAGUAGGCAGCAGCACCGUUACAAAAAUAAAGAACAAGUCUGGUGAUUGAAACAUUUCUGCACCCAUUCCUUGCUUACAAAAGAAAUAUAAUGGAGUUAAACUGUGUUAUGUCAAGGUAUCACCAUGGCAAGAUCCCCUUUGUUGCUAACCAGGAGGCAGGAACUUGAGAAUUGUUUCAGAACUAUGAAGUGAGAGCACUCUGAAGUUUGAUGUGCACUUGACGCUUGGUCAUUGCACUUCCCCUGAUGAGUUCGGAUCUGAUUCUGCUCAUUGUGAUGUAGCCCCAGCAUGUAGAAGCCACAACAUCUAUGCUGAUGUUCGUAAAUUUCCUUCUUGGUUUAUCUCCUGUGUAAGUUCUUGCAAAUUGGUAGAGGGCGCAGUGCGCCGACUCAUGGUCUUGCUGCCCAGGCUCAUCAGAUUAGUAUUAGUAAUCUACUA